GUCCCUGUAGCGCAAUGGAUAGCACGUUGGACUUUUAAUCCUAAGGAAUACCAUCAGGAUUCGAAUACCAUCUGGGAUG